AACGAACGCUGGCGGCAGGCCUAACACAUGCAAGUCGAACGCUGUAGCAAUACAGAGUGGCAGACGGGUGAGUAACGCGUGGGAAUCUUCCUAUCGGUACGGAAUAGCUCAGGGAAACUUGGGGUAAUACCGCAUACGCCCUUCGGGGGAAAGAUUUAUCGCCGAUAGAUGAGUCCGCGUCUGAUUAGCUAGUUGGUGAGGUAACGGCUCACCAAGGCGACGAUCAGUAGCUGGUAUGAGAGGAUGACCAGCCACACUGGGACUGGGACACGGCCCAGACUCCUACGGGAGGCAGCAGUGGGGAAUAUUGGACAAUGGGGGCAACCCUGAUCCAGCCAUGCCGCGUGAGUGACGAAGGUCUUCGGAUUGUAAAGCUCUUUUGGCGGGGACGAUAAUGACGGUACCCGCAGAAUAAGCCCCGGCUAACUUCGUGCCAGCCGCCGCCGUAA
rnacentral:rRNA from 1 species